rnacentral:lncRNA from 1 species
ACCUCUUUAAUUUGUACACUGCAGAGUCUGCACGUAAAGCUAACACCCGGACCUGCUAAUUCAGGCUCCACGUGCGUGAUUAAUAAUGCAGAAGAAGAAAGCUUGAGAGUUACUGUGCUGCGUGGGUUCUGGGAGGCAGCAAUCAUUGCCCGUCACUGACGAUGUGGGCUAACAAGUUCCAGAAAUGGUCCAAACAGAUCAAACAGCCAGAGAUUCCUGUUUCUUCAAGAGGCCUGCAACCACCCCCACCCUUGAAGGCCAAUGAUAAGUAGUUGUGGAAAAUGGAUUUCUGACUAUCCAGCCUCCUAAGAUUAAGAAAUGGACGUCUGAGGGAGAAGAUGAGGGCAGUAGAUGCUAUGGCUGUACUGGCUGGUUCUGUGUGUCAACUUGACUUACUUUAAGAGUCAUCGGAGAGGAAGGAGCCUCAGUUGAGAAAAUGCCUCCAUGAGAUCCAGCUGUAAGACAUUUUCUCAAUUAGUGAUUGAGGUGGGAGAACACAAGCUGAGCAAGCCAUGCGAAGCAAGCCAGUUAGCAGCAGCUCUCCAUCACCUCUGCAUCGGCUCCUGCCUCCAGGUUCCUGCCCUGCAUGAGUUCCUGUCUUGAAUUCCUCCAAAGAUGAACUGUGAUCUGAAAGUGCAAGCCAAAUAAACUCUUUCCUCCCCAACUU